rnacentral:rRNA from 1 species
GACGAACGCUGGCGGCGUGCUUAACACAUGCAAGUCGAACGCUGAAGCUCAGCUUUUGUUGGGUGGAUGAGUGGCGAACGGGUGAGUAACACGUGAGUAACCUGCCUCCUUCUUUGGGAUAACGCCCGGAAACGGGUGCUAAUACUGGAUAUUCACUGGUCUUCGCAUGGGGGUUGGUGGAAAGGGUUUUUCUGGUGGGGGAUGGGCUCGCGGCCUAUCAGCUUGGUGGUGGGGUGAUGGCCUACCAAGGCUUUGACGGGUAGCCGGCCUGAGAGGGUGACCGGUCACAUUGGGACUGAGAUACGGCCCAGACUCCUACGGGGGGCAGCAGUGGGGAAUAUUGCACAAUGGGCGCAAGCCUGAUGCAGCGACGCCGCGUGAGGGAUGGAGGCCUUCGGGUUGUGAACCUCUUUCGCUCAUGGUCAAGCCGCAACAAUGGUUGUGGUGAGGGUAGUGGGUAAAGAAGCGCCGGCUAACUACGUG